rnacentral:rRNA from 1 species
GACGAACGCUGGCGGCGUGCCUAAUACAUGCAAGUAGAACGCUGAAGAGAGGAGCUUGCUCUUCUUGGAUGAGUUGCGAACGGGUGAGUAACGCGUAGGUAACCUGCCUUGUAGCGGGGGAUAACUAUUGGAAACGAUAGCUAAUACCGCAUAGCAAUGGAUGACACAUGUCAUUUAUUUGAAAGGGGCAAUUGCUCCACUACAAGAUGGACCUGCGUUGUAUUAGCUAGUAGGUGAGGUAACGGCUCACCUAGGCGACGAUACAUAGCCGACCUGAGAGGGUGAUCGGCCACACUGGGACUGAGACACGGCCCAGACUCCUACGGGAGGCAGCAGUAGGGAAUCUUCGGCAAUGGGGGCAACCCUGACCGAGCAACGCCGCGUGAGUGAAGAAGGUUUUCGGAUCGUAAAGCUCUGUUGUAAGUCAAGAACGAGUGUGAGAGUGGAAAGUUCACACUGUGACGGUAGCUACCA